rnacentral:rRNA from 1 species
AGUAUUAUUUAUUAACCAUUAAAAGAGCCCUCACUAAGACAAAACAUAAUUAGAUUAGUACUACCAAAUAAACUCUAACUUAUUAACUCCCGCAAGGAAUUUAAAACUAAAACCUUAGAAGUGAUUAAUUCACCUACCUUCUGCAUAAUGUAGUUGCAAGAAAUAAAAAUUAAACAUUGCUUCCCGAAAAGUGGAGAGCUACUAUAAGCAAUUUUAACCUUUAAUGUAACACUAUUAAAAAACAGCUUAUAAUAGCAGCGAAAUACCUAUCGAGCCACUUGAUAGCUGGUUGUCCCUUAAAUACAUAUAAGUGUACUCUUACAGUAUAGAUCAACACUAUUUCUCUGUAAGAAAAACCCUAAGAGGGACAAGCUUAUUAGGGCUACUAGAAACAAGGUAAUACCAGUACUUCAAAAAGGCUUAAAAACAGCCAAAUAUAUCCGUUAUAGGAAACGGCACCAAAAACCAAAAUAAAUUAACAAAUUCUAACCUAUUAAGGGACCUUACAGGUCAACUAAUUCUUUAACGAACCGGCAAUUAUUAGUAUCACAAAGUCACACAAUAUAAGUUUACCACUAUAAAUAAACAACCACAAAUAAUCAAUCACUCUAACCUACUAUUGGUAAUGAAUUCGGCAAAACCUUUCUUUGCCUGUUUAUCAAAAACAUCGUCUUUUGAUACCACAUUUAUAAAAGAUACUGCCUGCCCCAUGAUUUAAUUAAAUGGCCGCGUUAGCGUGAGCGUGCUAAGGUAGCGUAAUAAACAGCUCCCUAAUUAGGAGCCAGUGAAUGGCCAAACAAAGAAAAACUCUAUCACCAAUAAAAAGAAAACUUUUCUUCUAAGUGAAAAGACUUAGAUUAAGGAAAAAGACAAAAAGACCCCGCGGAACUUCCUUAUAGCUUUACUACUUAAAUCAUACUUAAGCUUAUAGCUAACUGGUUGGUUGGGGCAACCUCGGAGCAAAUAAAACCUCCAUUCAUUUUUAAAACCUAUACAAAACUUUAUAUGGACCAUACUCGCAGUUACCCCGGGGAUAACAGCGUAAUCCAACUUAAGAGUACGAAUCGAAAGUUGGGUUUGCGACCUCGAUGUUGGCUUAGGGAAAGCAACUUGGCGCAACCGCUAAGUUACAAUGCCAGUCUGUUCGACUGCUAACCCCCUACACGAGCUGAGUUAAGACCGGCGAGAGCUAGGUUGGAUUCUAUCUUUUACUUCAUAAAAUAAUUCUUUAUUGUACGAAAGGACCCAAAGAAGCACACAAAAGUGUUCAUCAUAAGCAGAAACUAAUCAUUAUAAUAAUCAACUACAAUAAACC